AUCGCUUCUCGGCCUUUUGGCUAAGNNCAAAGUGUAGUAUCUGUUCUUAUCAGCUUAAUAUCUGAUAUGCCCCCUACCCGGGGGCUUCAUAUUAAAUUGAUUUUUGGAACAGGGAGCCGGAAUAGGGGCUUGCUCCGUCCGCUCCACGCAUCGUCUAGGUAUUGCAGUACAUCCUAGAACGGUGCACUU
rnacentral:snRNA from 1 species